rnacentral:rRNA from 1 species
CCUACGGGUGGCAGCAGUGGGGAAUAUUGCACAAUGGGGGAAACCCUGAUGCAGCGACGCCGCGUGAGUGAAGAAGUAAUUCGUUACGUAACGCUCUAUCAGCAGGGAAGAAACACUGACCUUACGGUCAGCAGACGGUACCUGAUUCCGAAGCCCCUGCUACCUACGUGCCAGCAGCCACGGUAAUACGUAGGGGGCAAGCGUUAUCCGGAUGUACGGGGUGGAAAGGGAGCGUAGACGGUGCGCCAAGUCUGGAGUGAAAGGCCGCAGCUUAACUGCGGAACUGCUUUGGACACUGGCGAACUAGAGUGCGGGAGGGGGAAGCGGAAUGCCUAGUGUAGCGGUGAAAUGCGUAGAUAUUAGGAGGAACACCGGUGGCGAAGGCGGCUUACUGGACCGUAACUGACGUUGAGGCUCGAAAGCGUGGGGAGCAAACAGGAUUAGAUACCCGAGUAGUC